GUGAGGAAUUUUCCGCAAUGGGCGAAAGCCUGACGGAGCAAUGCCGCGUGAAGGAUGAAGGCCUAUGGGUUGUAAACUUCUUUUCUCAGAAAAGAAUUAUGACGGUAUCUGAGGAAUAAGCAUCGGCUAACUCUGUGCCAGCAGCCGCGGUAAGACAGAGGAUGCAAGCGUUAUCCGGAAUGAUUGGGCGUAAAGCGUCUGUAGGUUGUUUAAAAAGUAUUCUGUCAAAGAUUAGGGCUUAACCCUAGAUAGGCAGAAUAAACUUUUAAUCUAGAGUUUGGUAGAGGCAGAGGGAAUUCCCGGUGGAGCGGUGAAAUGCGUAGAUAUCGGGAGGAACACCAAAGGCGAAGGCACUCUGCUGGGCCAAUACUAACACUGAGAGACGAAAGCGAGGGGAGCAAAUGGGAUUAGAUACCCUAGUAGUCC
rnacentral:rRNA from 1 species